rnacentral:rRNA from 1 species
UUUCCAGACUCCUACGGGAGGCAGCAGUGGGGGAUAUUGCACAAUGGGGGGAACCCUGAUGCAGCGACGCCGCGUGGGUGAAGAAGCGCCUCGGCGCGUAAAGCCCUGUCAGCAGGGAAGAAAAUGACGGUACCUGAAGAAGAAGCCCCGGCUAACUACGUGCCAGCAGCCGCGGUAGUACGUAGGGGGCAAGCGUUAUCCGGAUUUACUGGGUGUAAAGGGAGCGUAGACGGCUGUGCAAGUCUGAAGUGAAAGCCCGUGGCUCAACCGCGGAACUGCUUUGGAAACUGUAUAGCUUGAGUACUGGAGAGGCAGGCGGAAUUCCUAGUGUAGCGGUGAAAUGCGUAGAUAUUAGGAGGAACACCAGUGGCGAAGGCGGCCUGCUGGACAGAAACUGACGUUGAGGCUCGAAAGCGUGGGGAGCAAACAGGAUUAGAUACCCGAGUA